AUUCCAUGGUUUGGGCAUUUUCUCAUCAUCUCAUUAAACCUAUUCCAUGUCUCAUGGAGGCUUUAUUUCUCUUUCUAUUGAAAAGUUUGAAUCUUUGAUCUAAUUUU
rnacentral:snoRNA from 1 species